rnacentral:sRNA from 1 species
AUUCUGCCCAUGCGGGGAAAGAUGAGAAGCUUCGACCAAGGUUCGACUCGAGCGCCAGCGAGAGAGCGUUGCCGCAGGCAACGACCCGUAGGGCGAAGCGCGCAGCGCUGAGUAAUCCUUCCCCCACCACCA